GACGAACGCUGGCGGCGUGCCUAAUACAUGCAAGUCGAGCGAAGCGGCGGAUGGGUGAGAAACGCGUGGGUAACCUGCCAUUAAGGCUGGGAUACCAGUUGGAAACAGAUACCAAUACCGGACACUAAAGGAUUGACUUGCGAUGCAUGAGCUAGUUGGUAAGGUAACGGCUUACAAAGGCGAUGAUGCAUAGCCGAUUUGAGAGACUGAUCGGCCACAUUGGAACUGAGACACGGUCCAGACUCCUACGGGAGGCAGCAGUAGGGAAUCUUCCACAAUGGGCGAAAGUCUGAUGGAGCAACGCCGCGUGAGUGAAGAAGGUUUUCGGAUCGUAAAGCUCUGUUGUUGGUGAAGCGGUAAUCAACCAGAAAGCCACGGCUAACUACGUGCCAGCAGCCGCGGUAAUUC
rnacentral:rRNA from 1 species